GCAAGCCCAGUGGCAGUGGAUGAAACCGGCAGUGACUGCGCGCAGUCAUGCUGCAAGGCUUGAGCGAGCCCUCUUGAAGAGGCUGAACACCUCCUGCGUGGGAAAAUCUAUGGCAGAGGAAUUUUAAACAAGCAACCAACAUCAUGGAGGCAUCUGAACUCUCAUCUCCACCACUGUGCCGCAUCAUUCUGGGGCUAGGGUGGCUUUGCACAAGCCUUGCCUUUGAGGUACCACAGAGCAGCAUCACCCCAGGGCAGAAGCUGUGCCUCCAAAAGGCCCAAUUCUCACUCUGUUCAUUCUUGUCAAAGGCAACGGUAUGAUUCUGUCGCCCUGCAUGCCAGCCAGUCACCUCUAUGAAGUAUUUGGAUACAUGUUUCCAGGUGCAGAAGAGUCAGCCUGAGUGUGCCAAGCUGAACAGACGUGCCAAAGGGUGUUAAACCCCUUGCCAUACAUGCACAAGGAGGUUUCCUGCAAGUACCUCGUGCAGAGGAGAGCAAACCCGGGAGCACACCCUGAUCCAGGCAAUGAUCCCAUACAGAUGCCAGACGUACAAUCAAACCAAAGAGGACUGCCUUUUUCCGAGGAACUGAACACAACACCUGAAAACCAACAACUGCACCACUACCUCAGGUACCAAAUUAAAAGAAAUUAAAGCAAACAAGAAGCUGCCUUAAAAUUAUGCUGUGACAUAUGAAUGACUGGAGAAAAAAAUGAGAAAUAAUGUUGGGGGGAAAAAAGAGUUUGUCAUACCCUUGUUUUAGGAAGUCUUCUGUGAAUUAAGCCAGAAUCUCUAACAUACUGGUCAUCUUUUCAUCAUCACAGUACACAAAUAUACUUCCCUUUUAAUAUUCGUGACUCCUCACCAGUAACAGCUUUGUUUAUUGAUGUUUCUUUUUCAGAUAUAUUAAAGAUUUAUAUAUGUAUUAAGAAGAUUACAGAUCAGAAAGAACUGGGAAAAGUUACAAAACUUUAAUUAUCUUAAUAGACAAUUGGAUUUUAUGAAAGAUGCAUAUAGUGUACAACUAUCAUUUGAACAAAUAACCUACAAGUAAUUUUUUUAGUAGAAAUGUCCUCACUUUGGGUAAGAAAUUAUCCAUUUCCACUGAAAAACAGAUAGAUUUUUAGCAAAAGGAAAUUGUGUUUGAAAGAAACCUAUAAUAACUUAUUUUCUAAAACAGAAAGACGUGUUUAAUUUUCCUGCUAAAUGUAAUAAAAUUUCUAUAUGAUUUUGCUAUAGGGUAAAA
rnacentral:lncRNA from 1 species